CUGGCGAGUUCUGGCACUCCAGGAAGUCAUGGCACGUGGUGCGCUCGCACUUCCUGCAGGGAGGAUAGGCCGGGUCACCCACAGCUCGCCCACCCCCCUCAUCCCCAGACGGGGACACAGAUGGCACAGCUCAGCGGCAGGAUCAAGGGCCAGCUCUCUCCCUAAUGGCCGGGAAGCCUCAGCCGUAAGAAGUAGAUGUCAUGACAAGCCCCAUCUUACAAGGAGGGAAGCUGAGGCAGAGACAAGGCUCUACUGCUGGGGAGCACUGGACCAGGACCAGAACCCGGGGGACUGGCUCCCAAGCCUGCUUUGUUAGCCGCUGUCCCACACUUGCAGGGGGCGGAAGUGGGGAUAUCCCCACCGUGUGCCUAAAUCUCUAAGGGAGAGCGAGGCCAUCAGAGGCUGCAGAGUCCCCAGGACAGUGGCUGAGUGCAGCCAGCAGACCUUGGGCCACCAGGAGGGAGAGAGCUCCAGGCCCUGCCCUCAGGGAGCUCACCAUUCGGAGAUGUGGCUGAUGUCUCGGCACCCAAACAUCCCUUCAUUCAACAAAGAUUUAUUGAGCACCUGCUAUGCACCAAGCACUGUUCUUGGCACUGGGUGUACAUCAGUGACCAAGACAGAAAUCCCUGCCCUUGUGGGGCAGACACUCAAGGGGAGAGGACACAAUAAAUACAUAAACAAACAUAAAUGGAGGUGGUGAUGAG
rnacentral:lncRNA from 1 species